CCGGAGCCGCCGCCGCGCCGCCCCCGGGGCUGCGGCUCUGCCCGCGCCGCCGCCGCGCCAUGGGCAGCCCCGCAGCGGCAGCCGAGCGACAAAACCCCCGGAGGUAACCUGAGACAGAGAUUGCUACGUGACCUGGGAGCUGCCAAAAACAAAUGCCAAGACCGUCAGCUCAUUCCCAGGGCUGGGAACGAGGGACUCACCUGACAAGCCAAGCUCAGGUGGUCUGUGAGUGAGCUUAAAUUCCAC
rnacentral:lncRNA from 1 species